rnacentral:lncRNA from 1 species
GCUCUUUCUGUUUGAUUUUCUUUGCCAUCAGCGUGGCAGAGCCCCACUGAGGGGAUUCCAGCCAUGUUUUAUUUCUGCUCUCAUCUGUUUUUUUCAGCUGACUUGGCGAAGGUAACGUGUAAUGACUUCAAGGAUCAUUCUUAUUACCAGAGGUAAUC